rnacentral:misc_RNA from 1 species
AAAGAUUGUCGCGUAAAUAUCAGAAAUCGGGCGAAGCGGUUAAUCGUGCAGACCGGUUGCUGUAAACGUCGCUGUAGGUAAAAAAGCGACAGGUAAAAAAAAAGCAAAUUCCGUGCAUUUAAGCGAGAAUCGCACGGAAAGAAGAUAAUAAAAAUGUAGGAGACGGCGUCGUGGAGUGCAAGCGUUCGUAACUCGACGUGGGUGUUGUCUGCAAGGACACACGGACGCGCCUCGUGUAAUUCCACUCGAGGUCCACAAAGAGGAGGAAGAAGUCGAAGAGGCAGAAAGAGGUAGAGAGAGAGAGAGAGAGAGAGAGAGAGAGAGAAAGAGGACAGGGAAGGACAAAGAGAGAAAAAAGUAUGUAUGUAUGUAUGUACGUAUGUAUGUAUCUGGUAUCGCGAUAUCUCGAGCGGAGGCGGACUGCGAGAGAAGCAAGAACUUCUGGAUCUCGAUUUACGGAUACUUAAAGCACACCCACGAGUAUAGUCUUCUCCAUAGACAUUAAGGAAAAAAAACAUCGUCUCGAUAUUGAUUAUCGUCGACCUUGCGCUUAGUUACGUCGAAGAGCUAUCGUCACGCGGGCUUCGUUCGAUCGACUUUGAGAAUCUUCUCGUCUCUCGCUUAACAUUGCUUCCUUUUUUUAUAUUUACAAUACAGUAGAAAAGUUUUAACAAGUCCGAUGUAAAUACGCUAUUGCGCUAGAUAAAUUUGGAUAAAUUGUUGGAUAUCUCUCGUUCUUUU